GACAGAGGGUGCAAACGUUGUUCGGAAUCACUGGGCGUAAAGCGCACGUAGGCGGGUUCUUAAGUCAGGGGUGAAAUCCUGGAGCUCAACUCCAGAACUGCCUUUGAUACUGGGAAUCUCGAGUCCGGGAGAGGUGAGUGGAACUGCGAGUGUAGAGGUGAAAUUCGUAGAUAUUCGCAAGAACACCAGUGGCGAAGGCGGCUCACUGGCCCGGUACUGACGCUGAGGUGCGAAAGCGUGGGGAGCAAACAGG
rnacentral:rRNA from 1 species